rnacentral:rRNA from 1 species
AUGGCUGCCAGAGAAGGCAAGAUUGGCGAGCGGAUGGAUCCGGAUGGGGCCAUUGAGUCGAUGGCUGCCAGAGGCGGGCAUGUGGAUACAGAGAUGACCCAAUUCAAGUGCGGCGAGGUUGCGGAUGAUGAGCUUCACAAGGACGAGAUGAACGGAGGCAAAUCAAAUCAGCAGAUCAAGAACAAGAUGACCCUGGAGGAGAUGGACCUAGGCAAAUCAAACUCCAUCAUCUCCGAGCAGGAGAUCAAGGAGCUCUGUACGCAGAUGGACGAGAUGGUCGCUUUUAUGAAUUACAGGAUCAUACCAUCAGCCCCACUCAUCUGCAGCAGCACCAAGGAGACGAAAGAUGAAGACAAGGCGCCGCAGUCGGGGAUCGACGGCAUCUUACAGCGGCUAGCUGAUGUGCGGCACGACAUGUCCAAGCUCAAAUCGGAACUGGCCCCUUUCUGGCACGAAUACCCAUAUGAGAAGAAGUCGGAGCUGACUCCGGAGGAGGAGAGGGAGAAGAGGAUCAAGUCCUGGCAGGAGUAUCAGAAGCUGGACAACAAGGAGAAGGCCAGCAAGGAGAUGGAGUUCGACGUGAGCGACUUCGAGGGCUACUGUCAAGGCAUGACAGCUUUAGUUGAACACUUCAAAUACACAACCUUAGUGAGCCCCAUGCACUUUACACACUACACGCCGAGACAGAUCCCACACCAUCUUGCUUCCAACAAGAUCACCUUGCAGAUCUUCUCCUUCAAAAUUGCCAACAUUGAUUUGUACCUGCAAUGGCCACUCCUGGAAUGGCCACUCAAAGUGUACGGCCUCAUCGCUGCACGAGACAGUGUGGAUCACAGACGCAAUUAUCUCUUCUUACGGGAAAGGGACAAUUUCCAAGAGAUCACCCAAGAAAAACCCUUCUUGUGCUUGACUGUCCCAUCUCGUGCAAUUUUGGCUCAGGACCAUGUUAGCCUUGAAGUCCAACUAAAACUUAAGGGCCCCUCGGAGUCUGAGGACACGGUGUUGAUCACUAAGAGAUGCCAGCACAGUCAAUAUCAUGCCGAUGAUGAUUUAUAUAUUCUUACCUUGGAGAACCGUCUUUGCACAAUAGAGUUAAGCCUGCAGCAACUAUACCGUGAAUCAGUCCAAGCAACUUUCUUGCGCGUCGGUGGCUUUGUUAAAAGCAGUACAACCCCUUUCAUUCAUGGAGGCCGAGUUGCUUGCUCCUCACCACCUCAUGGAGGUCAAGGCACUGCCCCGCCCACCCAAGUUGUGUUGCUUGAUUCUCGUUAUUGUGAUGGUGGGAAGAUGCCAAUAGGCGAAAAAAUGGUUACCUUGAUCUGUCAAGGCAUGUUGUUUCUGUUGAAUUAA